GUCUGCAACCUCGACCUCAGCAACAAGCUGGUAAAGACAGUGAAACAUCUUGAGUCCAGAAUUUGAGAGCAAAGCAGAAGGAAGUGAGAGUGCUCCAGCUCCACUUGGGUGUUCCCAGAUCAGUGAUAUAAAUAUAAUCCCUCCAGUGUGUUUUGGGUGUCCUCCCAGCUGCACGGACUCAGAAUAGCUCCUGACCUCCCUCAACUGACUCCACGCGAAGGAGCAGAGGUGCCAACUCGAAGCCUUUUUCUGGAUGUCUGAGCUCUUCGACCCCCGAGAGAUGCCAUCUUUGAUAAAAAUGAUCCCAGUCCUUGAGGCGUCAAACAUCAAAGCUGAGAUCGGAGCUUUGAGAAUCUUUGGUACUUCUCUUGCCAGAUGCUAAUGGAGGCUCAGCGGUAAACAGCAUUUUAUACCUUAAACAAAGAUUAAAGACCAAGUACAAAGUGCUUUCUAUUUCACAGCAUGUGAUCAUAAUCUGCAAGAGAUGGAAGGUACUUCAAAUGUGUCAUGCUGAUCCAUUAGAAACUCAGAAAUCGGUGGCAACAUGACAAAGAAAGACAAGUGUUUUAUACCAGAGCCAAGCCGAAUCUGAAUCCAGUCCAAGUUUCCAUCAUGAGGUGCAGAUAUCCAGCAUGAUGAGAUCCUAAAAAUACCUCUGAAGAAGGCUGCAGACAUCAUCCACUGUGUCCUAUUGGAAAGAAAAAAACCUGCUGAGUAAUUGACUUUGAAUAAUUGAUGCUCUCCCCAGCUCCUGAUUCAUUUUCAUGAAGGCUGAGGGGAAUUUUCAGGAGGGAAGCGAUUAGGAGGUUUAUCACCAUUCAGUCCUCGGAAAAGUAUUGCGGCGGUGAUUAUGAUGAUUUAACUGCAAAUUUGUGAUGAUUUCUCCCUGUAUGGUAUGGUGGCAGAGCAGCUCAUAAAAGGGAAUACAAAAUAAACCAUCAUUUUAUUUUAAAACCACAAUGGCAGGGAGCGUAAUUGUUCUCUAUACUGAAGGAAAGAA